CGCUUGCGGCCAUGUUCUUUUCCGACACCAAAGAGUUGCUUAAUUUCACAGAGUUGUCUUGAUCUUUUUUUUCCCUACUGUUGACACUCUGAAGUCUACUGAAAGAAGUGAAGGGUGGACUGUCUUUACGCUCUUCUUACGGGCAUGCCGCACUCAUUACCCCAACUGCUCUACAUGGAAACAAGUGAAUUUGAACGAAGUGAGAGAAUCUGUCUCUGAAACUGACUCAUGAAAAAAGGUUGCAAGCAUGAAGUUGGUUUUCCUCCAUUUAGUUAGAUCUUCGUGUUGAAUCCUGAAUACGGUUGAGUCUUUAAUUGUGGCACGUGUUAAUGGAAGGAAACCCUUCACUUCGAGCUGGCUGGUUUGGAACUGCUCUACUGUGUACUGCUGAGGUAAACCAAUCUGAAAGAGCAGUUAUGUGGGUUUUGCACUAUUUUUUUGUACAUAAAAUAAUUGAGUUAGUGUUUAUUUUUCUCUGUCCAGUUUUUCUUAUUUUUGAAAGGACCAAAACAUGACCGUACCUAUGGUUAUCUAUGUAAUUUGCCAAUUAUGCCGAUAGCGUCACUCUCAGAUUUGUUUUCAAUGUCAGGUUAAUGAUACUAUGAUAUAUUUAUAUAUUUGAAAACAAAUAUGUACUUUUAAUUUCAACAAUCUAUUAAAAUGAAUACCUUUUAAUGUAAUUCUAUGGAAUAGAAUAACUCCCUAAUGUCAAAACUAUGGUUGUGCAUAAUGAUCCAUCACCCACACAUGAGAACAAACAUUUUCUGGUUCUGUGUUGAACAUGCCCCUCCCAAAUUCAAACUGCAGGAGGGUCACCGCCUCUUGGCGGCCUGCCGGUUCUUUAUUCAAAGUCGCAUCUCGACUUUCAAGUGCUUCAGUUUGCAACAUAUAUGGUCUCAAUGGUCUCUUAUUGCACAUUGAAGGAUGCAUGAUAUUAAGUGUUUACAAACUUGAAACAACCAUGUAUUAUGUCUGUCUGUUCUGGCAUUUGUAUUUACCACCAUGUUGAACAAAAAUGAAGUUCUCAUCACGCGUCAGAAGUUGUCCCAUUUUCAUUCGAUCAUGCCAAUUGUGUAAGUGUGAAAAAUGUAUAUUUUAUUGGUACAUCGGUUUAUGUUACUGUUUGCUUUGUGGAAACUCUUGCUUUCCCUGCACUGUAGAAAGCUCACAGCACCGUGCAGGAGAGCUCAGGGGUUUCUCUGUCGCCAUACUUCCAUCUGUCUGUCUUCUGGGAUGAAUAUCUGUGGUUUGCAGUAUUUUCUCAUAGUAGGCAAUUUUUGUACAGUUUUAUUAAAAUAAAUUUCACAUGGAUGUCUGGCUUAAUCUGCUGCCACAAACAAUCUAGACUGUAGAUACAGUAUAUAUAGAUAUUAUUGUGCAAUGGAAAAUAAAUGUAAAACCCAAAUCAUAACAUGUUUUGUCUCGUAUUUUCUGUUGUGUAUGUAUAUAUUAAAUAAAUUAAUGCUUUACUUUAUUC
ensembl:lncRNA